UGAUUCUGCAGCUACUCUAGACAACAUUUCAGCUCCGACAUAUUUUUCGGAGUCACUAUAUUCUAGUUAUGGUGUAACAAUACAGAUGCUCAUUUCUUCUGAAGAAACUUCAUUUUGCUACCUCUCCCGAUCCUGAGUGAAUCCAGCAAACAUCUGCGUUUCCAUAAAAAGAUCAAGAAACUGACGUAUGCUCCGGGAAGUGUGUGAUUUUCGGAAGGGAUCUCUCUGGAAGACCCUUUCGCCCUUUUCAUUCACAUACAUGUUUGUUACACGUGAACCUGGUGCCAGGAAAACAAUGCUCAUAUGGGAUGGUCAUGCCCGGAGGAACACAGAAUACGUGCUCUGUGCGCUAUACAUAAGGGUGGAUUAAACUGGAAUGGUGAGAAAUUGUUACGGUCAACA